rnacentral:rRNA from 1 species
UGCCUUAGUAACGGCGAGUGAAGCGGCAACAGCUCAAAUUUGAAAGCUGGCCCUUUCAGGGUCCGCGUUGUAAUUUGUAGAGGAUGAUUCGGCGAGGGCUCCCGCCUAAGUCCCCUGGAACGGGGCGUCAUAGAGGGUGAGAAUCCCGUAUGCGGUGGGCUGCCUUAGCCAUGUGAAUCUCCUUCGACGAGUCGAGUUGUUUGGGAAUGCAGCUCUAAAUGGGAGGUAAAUUUCUUCUAAAGCUAAAUACCGGCCAGAGACCGAUAGCGCACAAGUAGAGUGAUCGAAAGAUGAAAAGCACUUUGGAAAGAGAGUUAAAAAGUACGUGAAAUUGUUGAAAGGGAAGCGCUUGCAACCAGACUUGUCCGCAGUUGCUCAGCCGGUCUCCUGACCGGCGUACUCUUCUGCGGCCAGGCCAGCAUCAGUUCGGGCGGUCGGAUAAAGACCUCGGGAAUGUGGCUCCUCUCGGGGAGUGUUAUAGCCCGGGGUGGAAUGCGGCCAGCCUGGACUGAGGAUCUCGCUUCGGCAAGGAUGCUGGCGUAAUGGUUGUAAGCGGCCCGUCUUGAAACACGGACCAAGGAGUCUAACAUCUAUGCGAGUGUUUGGGUGUCAAACCCAUACGCGUAAUGAAAGUGAACGGAGGUGGGAACCCGCAAGGGCGCACCAUCGGCCGAUCCUGAUGUCUUCGGAUGGAUUUGAGCAAGAGCAUAGCUGUUGGGACCCGAAAGAUGGUGAACUAUGCCUGAAUAGGGUGAAGCCAGAGGAAACUCUGGUGGAGGCUCGCAGCGGUUCUGACGUGCAAAUCGAUCGUCAAAUUUGGGUAUAGGGGCGAAAGACUAAUCGAACC